GACAGAGGGUGCAAACGUUGUUCGGAAUUACUGGGCGUAAAGCGCGUGUAGGCGGUCGGGCAAGUCGGAUGUGAAAGCCCAGGGCUCAACCCUGGAAGUGCACUCGAUACUGCUCGGCUAGAGUCCCGGAGAGGAUGGUGGAACUCUCGGUGUAGAGGUGAAAUUCGUAGAUAUCGAGAAGAAACAUCGGUGGCGAAGGCGGCCAUCUGGA
rnacentral:rRNA from 1 species